rnacentral:rRNA from 1 species
UGGGGAAUAUUGCACAAUGGGCGCAAGCCUGAUGCAGCCAUGCCGCGUGUAUGAAGAAGGCCUUCGGGUUGUAAAGUACUUUCAGCGAGGAGGAAGGUGUUGAGGUUAAUAACCGCAGCAAUUGACGUUACUCGCAGAAGAAGCACCGGCUAACUCCGUGCCAGCAGCCGCGGUAAUACGGAGGGUGCAAGCGUUAAUCGGAAUUACUGGGCGUAAAGCGCACGCAGGCGGUCUGUCAAGUCGGAUGUGAAAUCCCCGGGCUCAACCUGGGAACUGCAUCCGAAACUGGCAGGCUAGAGUCUUGUAGAGGGGGGUAGAAUUCCAGGUGUAGCGGUGAAAUGCGUAGAGAUCUGGAGGAAUACCGGUGGCGAAGGCGGCCCCCUGGACAAAGACUGACGCUCAGGUGCGAAAGCGUGGGGAGCAAACAGG